rnacentral:tRNA from 3 species
CGUUGGUCAAGCGGUUAAGACACCGCCCUUUCACGGCGGUAACACGGGUUCGAAUCCCGUACG